GACGAACGCUGGCGGCGUGCCUAAUACAUGCAAGUCGAGCGGACUUUCAAGAAGCUUGCUUUUUGGAAGUUAGCGGCGGACGGGUGAGUAACACGUGGGCAACCUGCCUGUAAGACGGGGAUAACUCCGGGAAACCGGGGCUAAUACCGGAUAAUAUCUUUCUUCGCAUGAAGGAAGGUUGAAAGGCGGCGCAAGCUGCCGCUUGCAGAUGGGCCCGCGGCGCAUUAGCUAGUUGGGUAGGUAACGGCUCACCAAGGCGACGAUGCGUAGCCGACCUGAGAGGGUGAUCGGCCACACUGGGACUGAGACACGGCCCAGACUCCUACGGGAGGCAGCAGUAGGGAAUCUUCCGCAAUGGACGAAAGUCUGACGGAGCAACGCCGCGUGAGCGAAGAAGGUCUUCGGAUCGUAAAGCUCUGUUGUCAGGGAAGAACAAGUACCGUUCGAAUAGGGCGGUACCUUGACGGUACCUGACCAGAAAGCCACGGCUAACUACGUGCCAGCCGCCGCCGUAA
rnacentral:rRNA from 1 species